CACUGCCCGGACUCCUACGGGAGGCUGCAGUAACGAAUAUUGGGCAAUGGGCGAAAGCCUGACCCAGCGACGCCUGCGUGUGGGAAGAAUGCCUUCGGGUUGUAAACCACUGUCAGGGAUUACCAACCAACCGGUGUGAAUAGCGCCGGGAGUUGAGGAGUCCCAGAUGGAAGUCACGGCUAACUUCGUGCCAGCAGGCUGCGGUAAUACUGAAGGUGGCUAGCGUUGUUCGGAAUCACUGGGCUUAAAGAGCACGUAGGCGGAUGAUCAAGCGUCUUGUGAAAGCCCUCGGCUCAACCGGGGAAUUGCUUGGCGAACUGAUCAUCUUGAGGCAGGUAGGGGCGAGUGGAACUCUUGGUGGAGCGGAGGAAUGCUUAGAUUUCAAGAGGAACGCCAGAGUGCGAAGGCGACUCGCUGGGCCUGACCUGACGCUGAGGUGCGAAAGCCAGGGGAGUGAACGGGAUUAGAUACCCCGUGUCGUCCUGGCCCUAAACGAUGUCCACUAGGUCGGUGAGGUCCUAAUGCUUUGGUGGGCGAAACCAUAAUGCGUUAAGUGGACCGCCUGGGGAGUACGGUCGCAAGGCUACGACUCAAGGGAUUUGACGGGCGCUCGACAUAAGCGGUGGAGCAUGUUGCUUAAUUCGAUGCAACGCGAAGAACCU
rnacentral:rRNA from 1 species